CAAGACCUUGCACUUUUGGAGCGGCCGAUGUCUGAUUAGCUAGUUGGUGAGGUAAAGGCUUACCAAGGCUUCGAUCAGUAGCUGGUCUGAGAGGACGACCAGCCACACUGGGACUGAGACACGGCCCAGACUCCUACGGGAGGCAGCAGUGGGGAAUUUUGGACAAUGGGGGAAACCCUGAUCCAGCCAUGCCGCGUGAGUGAAGAAGGCCUUCGGGUUGUAAAGCUCUUUCAGCCGGAACGAAAAGGUUACGGUUAAUACCCGUGACUAAUGACGGUACCGGAAGAAGAAGCACCGGCUAACUACGUGCCAGCAGCCGCGGUAAUACGUAGGGUGCGAGCGUUAAUCGGAAUUACUGGGCGUAAAGCGUGCGCAGGCGGUUUUGUAAGUCAGAUGUGAAAUCCCCGGGCUCAACCUGGGAACU
rnacentral:rRNA from 1 species